rnacentral:rRNA from 1 species
CAGUAGCCGCGGUAAUACAGAGGGUGCGAGCGUUAAUCGGAUUUACUGGGCGUAAAGCGUGCGUAGGCGGCUUCUUAAGUCGGAUGUGAAAUCCCUGAGCUUAACUUAGGAAUUGCAUUCGAUACUGGGAAGCUAGAGUAUGGGAGAGGAUGGUAGAAUUCCAGGUGUAGCGGUGAAAUGCGUAGAGAUCUGGAGGAAUACCGAUGGCGAAGGCAGCCAUCUGGCCUAACACUGACGCUGAGGUACGAAAGCAUGGGGAGCAAACAGGAUUAGAGACCCCGGUAGUCCCUGUCUCUUAUAA